GCCAGGUGUGGUGGCGUGCACCUGUAGUCCCAGCUACUUGGGAAGCUGAGGCAGGAGAAUCGCUUGAGCCCAGGAGUUCAAGGCUGCAGUGAGCUAUGAUAGCACCACUGCACUCCAGCCUGGGCAACAGAGCAAGAUCCUGUCUCAA
ensembl:misc_RNA Metazoa_SRP Metazoan signal recognition particle RNA